GCAAACCUCAGGACACCUGCGGGGGGGGGGGGAUCUGAGGUCAACCCACAUCCCCAGGGAAUGGAGGUGCUCAGAGGAGAGGGUAGCUUGAGCAUGAGUCACUCGCCAGGUAGCUGUCUGCCAAACAA